rnacentral:rRNA from 1 species
GCUUUUCUGCUGACGAGUGGCGCACGGGUGCGUAACGCGUAUACAAUCUACCUUUUGCUGUGGGAUAGCCCAGGGAAACUUGGAUUAAUACCGCAUAGAAUAUAAGAUCGGCAUCGUUUUUAUAUUAAAGGUUACGGCAAAAGAUGAGUAUGCGUCCUAUUAGCUAGAUGGUGUGGUAACGGCACACCAUGGCUACGAUAGGUAGGGGCCCUGAGAGGGGGAUCCCCCACACUGGUACUGAGACACGGACCAGACUCCUACGGGAGGCAGCAGUGAGGAAUAUUGGGCAAUGGAGGCAACUCUGACCCAGCCAUGCCGCGUGCAGGAAGACUGCCCUAUGGGUUGUAAACUGCUUUUAUACGGGAAGAAACACCGCUACGUGUAGCGGCUUGACGGUACCGUAAGAAUAAGGAUCGGCUAACUCCGUGCCAGCAGCCGCGGUAAUACGGAGGAUCCAAGCGUUAUCCGGAAUCAUUGGGUUUAAAGGGUCCGUAGGUGGAUAAUUAAGUCAGAGGUGAAAUCCUGCAGCUCAACUGUAGAAUUGCCUUUGAUACUGGUUGUCUUGAGUCAUUGUGAAGUAGUUAGAAUAUGUAGUGUAGCGGUGAAAUGCAUAGAUAUUACAUAGAAUACCGAUUGCGAAGGCAGAUUAC